UCUUCGUUUUUUUCUCUUGUCUUGUCUUGUCUUGUCUGCCUCAUUGUCUGUCUGUGUGUGUCUUCGCAAAAGAAAAGAAAGAUGUUGGAGAGGGGGCGAAAAGAAAGAAAGAAAGA
rnacentral:ribozyme from 1 species